rnacentral:rRNA from 1 species
GAUGAACGCUGGCGGCGUGCCUAAUACAUGCAAGUCGAGCGAACAGACGAGGAGCUUGCUCCUCUGACGUUAGCGGCGGACGGGUGAGUAACACGUGGAUAACCUACCUAUAAGACUGGGAUAACUUCGGGAAACCGGAGCUAAUACCGGAUAAUAUAUUGAACCGCAUGGUUCAAUAGUGAAAGACGGUUUUGCUGUCACUUAUAGAUGGAUCCGCUCCGCAUUAGCUAGUUGGUAAGGUAACGGCUUACCAAGGCGACGAUGCGUAGCCGACCUGAGAGGGUGAUCGGCCACACUGGAACUGAGACACGGUCCAGACUCCUACGGGAGGCAGCAGUAGGGAAUCUUCCGCAAUGGGCGAAAGCAUGACGGAGCAACGCCGCGUGAGUGAUGAAGGUCUUCGGAUCGUAAAACUCUGUUAUUAGGGAAGAACAAAUGUGUAAGUAACUAUGCACGUAUUGACGGUACCUAAUCAGAAAGCCACGGCUAACUACGUG